AAACUGAGCAAUACCCAGAGAGGAUGGAAAUGGCGAAGUGGCCUAGCGCCUGACCGCUGCCGCGCAUGCUCCCUGACUUCACCAGGGUCACGCUGCAGCCCGCAGGAAGGAAAAUCCACUUCUCCGCAUUUUGGAGGUGACCUGAAAGCGGUUCAAAUACUCUGACUUCUCAGAAGAGGAGGGGACCGGGCGGUAACGAGGAGCCAAGGCGAGGCGACGGCUCGUAAAACCCGGAAAAGCUUUCCCGAUCCACUCUGCGGGCCUCCGAGCGCCUCCAGACAUGCGCAGUAGCCUCUCCCGCGGUGGCGGCAGUGCCUGCCGUGGCUGCUGAGUGUCCAGAGCCGGACGUUCCGGCCGCUGCGGGCCGGCGGCUGGAGAGCGCCCGCGUCAUGUCGGCCCAGGGGGACUGCGAGUUCUUGGUGCAGCGAGCCCGGGAGUUGGUGCCGCAGGACCUGUGGGCAGCCAAGGCGUGGCUGAUCACGGCCCGCAGCCUCUACCCCGCAGACUUUAACAUCCAGUAUGAGAUGUACACCAUCGAGCGGAAUGCAGAGCGGACCGCCACCGCCGGGAGGCUGCUGUACGACAUGUUUGUGAAUUUCCCAGACCAGCCGGUGGUGUGGAGAGAAAUCAGCAUUAUUACAUCAGCAUUAAGGAAUGAUUCACAGGACAAACAAACCCAAUUCUUAAGAAGUUUAUUUGAAACUCUGCCUGGUCGGGUCCAGUGUGAAAUGUUACUAAAGGUCACGGAACAAUGCUUCAACACUUUAGAACGAUCAGAAAUGUUGCUUCUACUUUUGAGGCGCUUCCCUGAAACGGUGGUGCAACAUGGGGUUGGCCUUGGGGAGGCACUGUUAGAGGCUGAAACUAUUGAAGAACAAGAAUCUCCUGUGAACUGCUUUAGAAAAUUAUUUGUUUGUGAUGUCCUUCCUCUAAUAAUUAACAACCAUGAUGUUCGACUGCCUGCCAAUUUAUUAUAUAAGUACUUGAACAAAGCAGCUGAAUUUUAUAUCAAUUAUGUCACUAGGACCACUCAAACAGAAAAUCAGCAUCAAGGUGCCCAGGAUACAUCUGAUUUAAUGUCACCUAGCAAACGUAGCUCUCAGAAGUAUGUAAUAGAAGGGCUGACCGAAAAAUCAUCCCAGAUCGUGGACCCUUGGGAGAGGUUGUUUAAGAUUUUAAAUGUUGUUGGAAUGAGAUGUGAAUGGCAGAUGGAUAAAGGAAGACGAAGCUAUGGAGAUAUUUUGCAUAGAAUGAAGGAUCUCUGCAGAUACAUGAACAACUUUGAUAGUGAAGCACAUGCGAAAUAUAAAAACCAAGUGGUGUAUUCCACCAUGCUGGUCUUCUUUAAGAAUGCGUUCCAGUAUGUCAACAGCAUACAGCCGUCUCUCUUCCAAGGUCCUAAUGCCCCGAGCCAAGUUCCACUGGUUCUUCUCGAAGAUGUAUCGAACGUGUAUGGUGAUGUAGAAAUUGAUCGUAAUAAACACAUCCAUAAAAAGAGGAAACUAGCUGAAGGAAGAGAAAAAACCAUGCAGAGUUCAGACGAUGAAGACUGUUCGGCGAAAGGAAGAAAUCGUCACAUUGUAGUCAAUAAAGCCGAACUUGCUAACUCCAUUGAAGUGUUAGAAAGCUUUAAACUGGCCAGGGAGAGCUGGGAGUUGCUCUAUUCCCUAGAAUUCCUUGACAAAGAAUUUACAAGGAUUUGCUUGGCCUGGAAGACGGAUACUUGGCUUUGGUUAAGAAUCUUCCUCACUGAUAUGAUCAUCUAUCAGGGUCAAUAUAAAAAGGCAAUAGCCAGCCUGCAUCACUUAGCAGCUCUCCAGGGAUCCAUUUCUCAGCCACAGAUCACAGGGCAGGGGACCCUGGAGCAUCAGAGGGCACUCAUCCAGCUGGCGACGUGCCACUUUGCGCUAGGGGAGUACAGAUUGACAUGUGAAAAAGUCCUUGAUCUGAUGUGCUACAUGGUACUACCCAUUCAAGAUGGAGGCAAAUCCCAGGAGGAACCCUCAAAAGUAAAGCCCAAAUUCAGAAAAGGUUCGGAUCUGAAGCUCCUGCCAUGUACCAGCAAAGCUAUCAUGCCAUACUGCCUGCAUUUAAUGUUAGCCUGUUUUAAGCUUAGAGCUUUCACAGACAACAGAGACGACAUGGCAUUGGGGCAUGUGAUUGUGUUGCUUCAGCAAGAGUGGCCACGGGGCGAGAAUCUGUUCCUGAAAGCUGUCAAUAAAAUUUGCCAACAAGGAAAUUUCCAAUAUGAGAAUUUUUUCAAUUACGUUACAAAUAUUGAUAUGCUGGAGGAAUUUGCCUACUUGAGAACCCAGGAAGGUGGGAAAAUUCAUCUGGAAUUACUACCCAAUCAAGGAAUGCUGAUCAAUGUUUGGGGAUAAAGAUUACCUUUGGAUACGGAAGCCCAGGUAACCCCUUUUGUAUUGUGAUUUGUUUUCUAGACUUUGAAACUGGAUGUACAAAUACAGCCUGAAUCAAGCUUUUUAGUUAAUUCCCAUCAGCAGUCACCAUACGAGUUAAUACAGAGACAGCCAGAGUGGAACUGAAGUCUGUGUACGUAGGAUUAAACCUACGGAUGAUUAUCACUUUACCUAGAUAAUGCGUAACUACUCGUGCAGGUGUGAGAGACGGAUUGUCAAAAAAUCAACAGUUGAACCUCAGACUUCAUUGUACUGAACCUUUCUUCUUUUACCAGUUUGUACUGAGCUGAAGAGUGACAGAAGUCCAGGUGGACAAACCCUAGGAUGAGGAAUGAGAGCAAGGGAGUGUUGGGUACCAGCUAGUGUCACAGGGAAGAGUGUUUGGAGCUGUUUGUGUAAAGGAUACCCAUCAUGCACUCUAACUAGUGAGGGAUAACUCCAGGCUCUGCCACCUUGAUCAAUAUGACCGUUAAUUUCUUCUAACUUUCUAUAGAAGACAAGCCUCUUAGGAAGGCUGCAGUUUCAUCAGUUUGGAAGCAGGAAUAGGGAUUAUUCCGUAGUGAUCUGACCAUUUAGGGCUUUGCCCAGUCUUCACUGUGUGAAUCUCAAGGUUAAUUACUGAUGCCUAAAUUAACAUGGUAGAAAGCACAUUGCUUAAGGCAGACAGCUCUUCCUAACUGAGGAAUGGUUGGACUCUUCAUUAAACAAUCUAAAUUCCUUUUCCCUUUGGGUUCCAAACAAGUUCUCUGAAGCCAUUACAGACCUUUUGGGUGGUCCCUCCAGAUGAGUGGCAGAGAUGUUGUGAGCAGUGUACACUUCUCCCCGGGGGUAAGGCUGUGAGUCUGCCCUAGCUGUGGCAUCUGGGAUGCAAGCAGGUACAGUACCAACACUGAAGGCACCCGGUGCUUCCCUCGAAGGAGGGAGAAGCUCUUAAUCUGUUAUACAGACCUUUUGCUCUUAAGUAUUUUAAAAUAGAGAAAUGUUUCUGUGCUGAUAAAUGCAGUAUCUUAGUUGUAUUAGAGUGCAUUAAAAUGGAAAACAAUGUCCUACUUAUACUCUGAAUAGGGUGGAUAAUAAUGUUCUAUGAGGUGAUCACCAGCUAAUAUACUAAAUCUUUGUUGUUACAGAAUUCUGCACAGCCAUGGGUCCCGGACUCUUAUUUUCCCCCAUCUGUUCUCGAUAUGUUUUUGAAAUUCAAACUCACCCUUUUUUUUUUUUUUUUUAAUCAAAAACAUUGCCAGACCAUUUAGUCCUCUUGGAAGGGCCUCUCCGGUGGGGCUUCAAUCCUGUUAAAGAUGGUUACCAGACAUCACCAGGUUGAAUGCUGGGACUGGUGUACCGUGAGAAGAGUGGAAAGUAAAGAGGCUGGCUUUGAAAAUGUGUCUUCUCAAAGGCUGCCCCUACUCCCUGUUGCCAUUCAGCUGCAUUCCAUCGUCCUCUUCCUCACUGGUCGCUUUUUAUACCACAUCCAAAGGGGGCUGAGCUCUGGGACCAGGAACUGAGACGCCUCUGGACAUGCACCAGCAGCAGCGGGUGCAGUGAGGGCUGGCUAGCUUCUUCCCAGUCUCCUUAAACACCCAGCCACGGCCAGGGGCUUGUUGAGGUUAACGAGUUUCUGUUUAGUCUGCUUCCAGUCUUGUGUAUUUUCUCUGGAGUGUUGUUUUUGCAGUGCAGGGUGAGUCGGUGUGGGUGUUUGAAUGCUGCUGUUUGCUGUUUUUUAAAGGCCUUCUAGCCCUCCCAUGGGGUUGCUGCAGCAGGAAUUCUUACCUGUGCUUCAGCCCAGCAUACAGACUGCUGACAGGCACCACACGGUAACGCGAGGCAUCACCAAAGGCGUGAAGGAGGACUUUCGCCUGGCCAUGGAGCG